rnacentral:rRNA from 1 species
UGAGGAAUUUUCCGCAAUGGGCGCAAGCCUGACGGAGCAAUACCGCGUGGAGGAGGAAGGCCCGUGGGUCGUAAACUCCUUUUCUCAGAGAAGAACACAAUGACGGUAUCUGAGGAAUAAGCAUCGGCUAACUCCGUGCCAGCAGCCGCGGUAAUACGGAGGAUGCAAGCGUUAUCCGGACUGAUUGGGUGUAAAGCAUCUGUAGGCGGUUUUGGAAGUCUACGGUUAAAUCCCAGAGCUUAACUUUGGUUCAGCCGUAGAGUACUUCAAAGCUUGAGUAUGGUAGGGGUAGAGGGAACUUCUCGUGGAGCGGUGAAAUGCACAGAGAUGAGAAGGAACACCAGUGGCGAAAGCGCUCUACUGGGCCAUGACUGACGCUGAGAGAUGACAGCUGAGGGAGCGAAUAGG